rnacentral:rRNA from 1 species
GUCUACAGCUAUGCUACCCCAUCUGAUCCCAUCUGAUCUUGGAAGCUAAGCAGGGUCAGGCCUGUUUAGUACUUGGAUGGGAGAUCACCUAAGAAGACCAAGUGCUGUAGGUG